UGCCAGCAGCCGCGGUAAUACGGAGGGGGCUAGCGUUGUUCGGAAUUACUGGGCGUAAAGGGCGUGUAGGCGGUCUAUCGAGUCAGGCGUGAAAGCCCCGGGCUUAACCUGGGAACUGCGUUUGAUACUGGUAAGCUAGAGGAUGUGAGAGGUGAGUGGAAUUCCGAGUGUAGAGGUGAAAUUCGUAGAUAUUCGGAAGAACACCAGUGGCGAAGGCGACUCACUGGCACAUUUCUGACGCUGAGGCGCGAAAGCGUGGGGAGCAAACAGGAUUAGAUA
rnacentral:rRNA from 1 species